rnacentral:rRNA from 1 species
AUACGGAGGAUCCGAGCGUUAUCCGGAUUUAUUGGGUUUAAAGGGAGCGUAGGUGGAUUGUUAAGUCAGUUGUGAAAGUUUGCGGCUCAACCGUAAAAUUGCAGUUGAAACUGGCAGUCUUGAGUACAGUAGAGGUGGGCGGAAUUCGUGGUGUAGCGGUGAAAUGCUUAGAUAUCACGAAGAACUCCGAUCGCGAAGGCAGCUCACCGGGCCGGAACUGACACUGAUGCUCGAAAGUGCGGGUAUCAAACAGGAUUAGAUACCCUGGUAGUCCGCACAGUAAACGAUGAAUACUCGCUGUUUGCGAUACACGGUAAGCGGCCAAGCGAAAGCGUUAAGUAUUCCACCUGGGGAGUACGCCGGCAACGGUGAAACUCAAAUGAAUUGGCGGGG